AAUAUUUUAAAGGACAAAAAAAGUAUGCCUCACAAAACUUGAAAUUGUAGUUGUUGCAAUAGAACUGGUGGACUAUAGGUCAAGUUUGUUACUUCCAGGAUACCUAUGUUGACACAUAAGGAUAAGAGAUUCUACUUUUGUUUUUCGGGGGUUUUUCUUGUUUGCUCUGGGUAUGUAGUUCAGGCUGGCCUUGAACUCACUAUGUAGGUCAAACUGGCCUGGAACUCGUGGCAAUCCUCCAGCCUCAGCCUCCAGACUGCUGGGAUUACAGGCAUGCGCCACCACGCCUGGCUAAAUUAUAUACUUUUCUUAACAACAGCAAAAAGUUCAAAUGAUGUGCACCAAAUUGUUUAUUCAAUGUAAAAGUCACGUUGCCGGGGAUUUAGCUCAGAGGUUACACUCUCGAAAGCGCAAGGACCCGAGUUCCAUCCCCGGGUCGGGGGGGAAGUCCCGUGAAAGUAAAUGGAAACGAGCUGUACUAAAUAGACUGACAAAUACCAUCUGAAGGCAACAUCUGCCCUACCUGCCAGGUUUGGCACACAAUAACUACACAUCUCUGGAUAACUGGAAAAACUGAAGGCAGAUUCGAGCACUCAGAACAUAAACCACGCAUCACACACACAGGACCGGUUUAUAUCAAUUAAGUGCUCUGAAGGUCAUCAGUGGUACUGUCCAAUGAAAUGUUCUGUGUCAUUCUGCUUUGUCUUUUAAUUCUGCAGGCUACCCCUAAAGCAACCUUACUUCUGGAAGAAUACAUUUCACACUCAGAAAACAGCAUGGGCAGGAGCCGGGACCGGGGCCGCCGAGCGGGAGACCGGGCUCGCUGGGCGCGGGGGAAGAUGAAAGGUGCGAAAGGAAGAAGUCGCCUGGCCCCGACGCGGGGGCCGGCCGCUGCCCCACGGGUCCUCACCCUUCACUUUGCCGAAGGUGCCGACGCCCAGUGUGUCCCCUAGGAUGUAGUGGCCGAUCUUCACCCGCCCUUCGUGUUUCUGCUUGUCGGCGGCCGCCAUCUUUUCCCCGGAAACUCCAGAAGCAACAGGAAGUUUUCAC